AUACGGAGGGGGCUAGCGUUGCUCGGAAUUACUGGGCGUAAAGCGCGCGUAGGCGGUGUACCCAGUCAGGCGUGAAAGCCCCGGGCUCAACCCGGGAAUUGCGUUUGAUACUGGUAUACUAGAAUCCGAGAGAGGGUAGUGGAAUUCCCAGUGUAGAGGUGAAAUUCGUAGAUAUUGGGAAGAACACCAGUGGCGAAGGCGGCUACCUGGCUCGGCAUUGACGCUGAGGUGCGAAAGCGUGGGGAGCGAACAGGAUUAGAUACCCUGGUAGUCC
rnacentral:rRNA from 1 species